rnacentral:sRNA from 1 species
UAUGUAGCAGAGGCUGCCAUUAAAAACUCGCGGCCAUAGUGGGAGCAGCAACUAUCAAGAUGGUCAAAUCCAUUCUAAUCAAAGUCUAAGAACUCCAUCCUCUUCCUCAUUGAACCUUUCAGAUCUCUCGCUUCCCUUUCUGCUUUCUCGGCCUGUAUUAUCACAAGAUCCUCUGAAACACAAGUCAUGUGAGCAGGGAGUUCAUCCUUCUCACGAACCAAUUCUCCGAUUAAUACGACAUUCUCUCCCCGGAUCACAUAUAGACCAAGAGGAACAUCACAAUAUAGUUCACCUACAAUUACUCGUUCACAAGCACCCUGAAGAACAACAUUUGCUGCGAGGUAAAAAAAACAGAGUGUGCCAAGCAGCUUCCGUCCAUCUCGUAGUAGGACAAUAAAGCCUCACUGUCCAAGAAGCCGGCCAGGGACGUGGAGAGGAAGAUCUCGUCGGGCCCGGCCCACGACGACAUCGCCGACGCUCGGAACCCUUCAAAUCCCGGAG